rnacentral:rRNA from 1 species
AUUGAACGCUGGCGGCAUGCUUUACACAUGCAAGUCGAACGGCAGCGGGGUAGUGCUUGCACUACUGCCGGCCAGUGGCGAACGGGUGAGUAAUAUAUCGGAACGUACCGAGUAAUGGGGGAUAACCAAUCGAAAGAUUGGCUAAUACCGCAUACGUCCUGAGGGAGAAAGCGGGGGAUCGCAAGACCUCGCGUUAUUCGAGCGGCCGAUAACUGAUUAGCUAGUUGGUGGGGUAAAGGCCUACCGAGGCGACGAUCAGUAGCGGGUCUGAGAGGACGUUCCGCCACACUGGGACUGAGACACGGACCAGACUCCUACGGGAGGCAGCAGUGGGGAAUUUUGGACAAUGGGGGCAACCCUGAUCCAGCCAUGCCGCGUGUAUGAAGAAGGCCUUCGGGUUGUAAAGUACUUUUGUUAGGGAAGAAAAGGGAAGUGCUAAUACCACUUUUUGCUGACGGUACCUAAAGAAUAAGCACCGGCUAACUACGUG